UACGGAGGGGGCUAGCGUUGUUCGGAAUUACUGGGCGUAAAGCGCACGUAGGCGGCUUUGUAAGUCAUACGUGAAAUCCCUCGGCUUAACCGGGGAACUGCGUCUGAUACUGGAUGGCUUGAGUUCGGGAGAGGGAUGCGGAAUUCCAGGUGUAGCGGUGAAAUGCGUAGAUAUCUGGAGGAACACCGGUGGCGAAGGCGGCAUCCUGGACCGAUACUGACGCUGAUGAGCGAAAGCCAGGGGAGCAAACGGG
rnacentral:rRNA from 1 species